rnacentral:rRNA from 1 species
GAUGAACGCUGACAGAAUGCUUAACACAUGCAAGUCAACUUGAACUUCGGUUUGGGUGGCGGACGGGUGAGUAACGCGUAAAGAACUUGCCUCACAGCUAGGGACAACAUUUGGAAACGAAUGCUAAUACCUGAUAUUAUGAUUAUAUGGCAUCGUAUAAUUAUGAAAGCUAUAUGCGCUGUGAGAGAGCUUUGCGUCCCAUUAGCUAGUUGGAGAGGUAACAGCUCACCAAGGCGAUGGUGGGUAGCCGGCCUGAGAGGGUGAUCGGCCACAAGGGGACUGAGACACGGCCCUUACUCCUACGGGAGGCAGCAGGGGGGAAUAUGGGACAGUGGACCGAGAGUCUGAUCCAGCAAUUCUGUGUGCACGAUGAAGUUUUUCGGAAUGUAAAGUGCUUUCAGUUGGGAAGAAAAAAAUGACGGUACCAACAGAAGAAGUGACGGCUAAAUACGUG